AGAUGCAAAUUUUAAUUAAUUUAAUCGACAAGUUCAUCAGCUGACCAGAAUCCCAGCACUUAAUGCCCUGUCCAAUUUCUACAUCAGAUUGCAUGAUGUCACUCCUCCUCCCACCUUCCUGAAUGGACACAACAGAACUCUUUGCUGGGCCACCUGCAUUGAUUACUCCUCUAUCUACAUCCAUGGAAUAUGAGUAUGAGCCAAGGAUAAUUAAUCAGAAUUUCUUCCAACAUAAACCUCAG